GCUCGAUCGUCAGGCGGCCCUGUGACCGGUUCCUUCGGUGAGCGGGUCCGUGCGGCGCUGGCCGCGCGGGGCCCGCUCUGCGUCGGCAUCGACCC
rnacentral:tRNA from 1 species